rnacentral:snRNA from 1 species
AUGCUCACUUCGGCAGCAUAUAUACUAAGAUUGGAACAAUACAGAGAAAAUUAGCAUGGCCCCUGUGCAUGGAUGACACACAAAUUCAUGAAGCAUUCAUAUUUUUU